rnacentral:rRNA from 1 species
UAUCCGGAUUUACUGGGUGUAAAGGGAGCGUAGACGGCACGGCAAGCCAGAUGUGAAAGCCCGGGGCUCAACCCCGGGACUGCAUUUGGAACUGCUGAGCUAGAGUGUCGGAGAGGCAAGUGGAAUUCCUAGUGUAGCGGUGAAAUGCGUAGAUAUGAGGAGGAACACCAGUGGCGAAGGCGGCUUGCUGGACGAUGACUGACGUUGAGGCUCGAAAGCGUGGGGAGCAAACGAGGAU